UCUAUUCUUAAUCUUCUUCCCUUCAUUCAGCGUUUCUGUUAAAAAUCUUUAUUUCUCACAUCAUAAAGCAACAUAGUUUUAAUGUGUGGUGUUGUCUGUGCAGUUAAUGGAAGCAUGUGCACCUGAGGCACAGCGUCCACUGGUUCCUCAGCCUCGCCCGCCUCACUUCUAUGACCAGUAUACAGAUAGGACAUAUGGAGUGCCGCGUGCAAUGGGCGCACAGCCACAAUUCCGUGCUGAACAGGUAAACAAUUGUCUUCUGUGGGAUUGAAUUUAAAAAA